rnacentral:SRP_RNA from 1 species
GCCGGGCGUGGUGGCGCAUGCCUGUAAUCCCAGCUACUCGGAAGGCUGAGGCAGGAGAAUUGCUUGAGCCCAGGGAGCGAAGGUUGCAGUGAGCAGAGAUCAUGCCACUGCACUCAAACCUGGGCAACAGGGUGAGACUCUGUCUCAA